rnacentral:tRNA from 1 species
GGGGAAUUAGCUCAGUUGGUUAGAGCACCAGCAUCACACGCUGGGGGUCGCCGGUUCGAGCCCAGCAUUCCCCACCA